rnacentral:rRNA from 1 species
CCUACGGGAGGCUGCAGUGAGGAAUAUUGGUCAAUGGGCGCGAGCCUGAACCAGCCAAGUAGCGUGAAGGAUGACUGCCCUACGGGUUGUAAACUUCUUUUAUAAAGGAAUAAAGUGAGGCACGUGUGCCUUUUUGUAUGUACUUUAUGAAUAAGGAUCGGCUAACUCCGUGCCAGCAGCCGCGGUAAUACGGAGGAUACGAGCGUUAUCCGGAUUUUUUGGGUUUAAAGGGAGCGUAGAUGGGUUGUUAAGUCAGAUGUGAAAGUUUGCGGCUCAACCGUAAAAUUGCAAUUGAUACUGGCAGUCUUGAGUACAGUAGAGGUAGGCGGAAUUCGUGGUGUAGCGGUGAAAUGCUUAGAUAUCACGAAGAACUCCGAUUGCGAAGGCAGCUUACUGAACUGACACUGACGUUGAGGCUCGAAAGUGUGGGUAGCAAACAGGAUUAGAUACCCGAGUAGUC